UAGGGAAUCUUCCACAAUGGACGCAAGUCUGAUGGAGCAACGCCGCGUGAGUGAAGAAGGUUUUCGGAUCGUAAAGCUCUGUUGUUGGUGAAGAAGGAUAGAGGUAGUAACUGGCCUUUAUUUGACGGUAAUCAACCAGAAAGUCACGGCUAACUACGUGCCAGCAGCCGCGGUAAUACGUAGGUGGCAAGCGUUGUCCGGAUUUAUUGGGCGUAAAGCGAGCGCAGGCGGAAGAAUAAGUCUGAUGUGAAAGCCCUCGGCUUAAGCGAGGAACUGCAUCGGAAACUGUUAUUCUUGAGUGCAGAAGAGGAGAGUGGAAUUCCAUGUGUAGCGGUGGAAUGCGUAGAUAUAUGGAAGAACACCAGUGGCGAGGGCGACUCUCUGGUCUGCAACUGACACUGAGGCUCGAAAGCAUGGGUAGCGAACAGG
rnacentral:rRNA from 1 species